GACGAACGCUGGCGGCGUGCUUAACACAUGCAAGUCGAACGGAAAGGCCCUGCUUGCAGGGUACUCGAGUGGCGAACGGGUGAGUAACACGUGGGUGAUCUGCCCUGCACUUCGGGAUAAGCCUGGGAAACUGGGUCUAAUACCGGAUAGGAGCCAUUUUUAGUGUGAUGGUUGGAAAGUUUUUUCGGUGUAGGAUGAGCUCGCGGCCUAUCAGCUUGUUGGUGGGGUAAUGGCCUACCAAGGCGGCGACGGGUAGCCGGCCUGAGAGGGUGGACGGCCACAUUGGGACUGAGAUACCGCCCAGACUCCUACGGGAGGCAGCAGUGGGGAAUAUUGCACAAUGGGCGCAAGCCUGAUGCAGCGACGCCGCGGGGGGGAUGACGGCCUUCGGGUUGUAAACUCCUUUCGCUAGGGACGAAGCUUUUUGUGACGGUACCUAGAUAAGAAGCACCGGCUAACUACGUG
rnacentral:rRNA from 1 species